rnacentral:rRNA from 1 species
UACGGGGGGGGUAAGCGUUGUUCGGAAUUACUGGGCGUAAAGGGCUCGUAGGUGGCCGACUAAGUCGGACGUGAAAUCCCUCAGCUUAACUGGGGAACUGCGUCCGAUACUGGAUGGCUUGAGUUUGGGAGAGGGAUGCGGAAUUCCAGGUGUAGCGGUGAAAUGCGUAGAUAUCUGGAGGAACACCUGUGGCGAAAGCGGCGCACUGGACCACAUCUGACGCUGAGGCGCGAAAGCUAGGGGAGCAAACAGG